UUUUUUUUGGAGAGAAUCCAAGACUUGAAUCUAUUGUUGGAUCAAGAUCACAAUGUAAAACGACUCAUUUAUAUCUUCGUUACUUUUUUUGAUCUUGUUCUUGUUUCUUUUGUGCUUGGACUUCGACUUUGGUCCGCUAGUUAAUCUUGCGUUGCUUGUUUAAUGAUAUGACUUGAUAUUUGAUUAUCUUGCUCUUACGUCAUUCAU
rnacentral:lncRNA from 1 species